AAAAUUCGGGAAAUUUUCCCGAUUUUUAUUUUUUUUAUUUUUUAUUGAAUUUUCUACUGUAAUAGGGGACUUCGUCCUCAUAUUAUUUUACUCGUGUAGAUCACCCGUAAAACUAUGUAUCAAAGUAGAUUGGAUUUCAGAUUUCUUAUAAAAUCAAUAAAACUUUUCAAAAGUAAAAGUAAUACACAUCAGAAAAUACUGUUUUGAGGGAUUUGGUAAUCACAACACAUUUUGAUCAGUAAUUGCAUAAUCAAAAGGCAAUGUUUGCCUUAUUUCUACAUGUAUCUAAAAAAAAAUCAUAUCUUGUAAUUAUAUUAUCAUUGAAAUAUAAGGUCAGUAUUCAAAUAAUCAGAUUUUAGACAACAACAAAAAUUGCAUAAAAAAACAUUCAAAAAACCUGUUUACUCCAUCCAUGGCUCAAUUUAAGCUGCUCAUUUAAUCUUANUUGGUACUUAACACUGUCAACUCGGAGUAAGGUACCCUUACCAGCAUUGGUACUAAACACUGUCUACUUGGAGUGAGGGUUCCCUUGCCAGCAGGGGUGCUAAACACUGUCUACUAGGAGUAAGGGUACCCUUACCAUCAUUGGUACUAGACACUGUCUACUGGGAGUAAGGUACCCUUACCAGCAUUGGUACUAAACACUGUCUACUAGGAGUAAGGUACCCUUACCAGCAUUGGUACUAAACACUGUCUACUAGGAGUUAGAUA
rnacentral:lncRNA from 1 species